AUUUAAAAAUUGAUUAAGAUUAUUCUUACUGUUUUUGAAAGUUACCACCAUUACCGUUAAAAUAUUGACGGAAGGGCUAAAAUAUCCGUUUUACCCUUAAAUUAAAUUCGAAGCUCCUUCGUUCCUCUUCUAGGUUUCCGAUGCUUUACCAGAGUUUGAAGCUCCUCCAUUCUUCUUCUAAGUUUCCUAAUCUUUACCAAAAUUAAUCUCAAGGAUAACGACCGACAAAAUCGCACCGCCCCCGGAAGUUGCCUGACCACUCUCACUCUGACCCUGACCGGAGAACUUGUAAUCGUCUCAUGUCUUCAACGAAGCAGGAGGAGACAGCGGGAGAGAGACGUCGUCACUUUGUGGUUAGGGUCUUGAAUUUGAGACGACGCCGCUGCUAGGAGUUGCAGCAGCGGUGCAAGAAAGUGAAGACGAAGAAGACAUGAGUAACUGGGUUCGCUUCAGAACAGGCGUUUGAUUGCAAAGAAGACGAAGAAGAGGGUUCGCUUUAGGACAGGGACAAUGGUUCGAUUGCAUAGAAGACGAAGAAGAGGAGAGAGAGCCCUGUUCGGUUUGUUCGAUAGUAGAGAAGACAAAUAAGGGGAGAGAGAAAGAGCCUAGUAGAGUUGUUUGGUUUUGUUCGAUUGCAGAGAAGGCGAAGAAGAGAGAAAUCCCUGUUCGGUUUGUUCGAUUGCAGAGAAGGCGAAGAAGAGAGAAAUCCCUGUUCGAUUGCAAGCUCCCCACCUCACUUCGUCGCUGCAUCUCUAGUUCAGUCGGUGAGGUGCUUACAGUUGUCGCCGGUGAUGAGGUAUUACAACACAGUAGUUGUCGCCGCCAAACCCUCCCUCCCCCACCUCACCUCGCUGCUGCAUCUCUGGUUUAGUCGGUGAGGUGCUUAUAUUUGUCGCCGGUUAUGAGAUAAUACAACACAACAGUUGUCGCCGCCAAACCCUCCCUCCCCCACCUUGCCUCGCCUACCUCAUCUCGGGUUCAAUCGUGCUUGGUGUCAACUCCGGUGGAAUUCAAUCUGGGUGUCGGGCUUCCUUUUGAGAAAUGUCAGGUGACAAAGUUAGGACAAGGUGCUCCCCAAAACGAUUUAGGGAAAUGUUGUACAGUUUGUUUCUAAGUUUGGAGCACAAGAGAAGGUUCCAACAGACUCCCUUUGGACACUUUUUGGAUUUGCCACAGGUGACUGUGGAGACGUUCCUUUUGGGUUAUCUAGUAAAAUCGUGGGACUCGACUAGCCAUUGCUUUAUAGUUGGUGAAAGGACUGUGCAAUUCAGCGAGGUCGAUGUUGCCUUGAUAACGGGGCUUGGCCUAUCGGGUAGUACAAUGCCCUAUUAGAAGGCCUUCCCGGUAGUGGAUUGUUCAAAAAAUCGUUUGGCUUUGAUAAAAAUCAUUCUACCUCUGUAGAGUUGGAUCUGGUGUGGCGUAGAUUAAAAAAGAUUGUUCUGUUAGAUGGUGAGGAGCACAUUGAGGAGGUGGUGUAGCUGGUUAUUUUGUUCUUAUUCGGUUAUGUGUUGUUUCCCCAAGGCAGUUUGAGGGUGAGCUCCUUUUUGGUUGGAUACGUUGACGAUUUAUAAUGUAUCGGUGAUUAUGCCUGGAGCAAAUGUGUAUAUGAAUUCUUGGACGGUGGUCUUGAUUAGUUUGUUUCUGGUUCUGGUACUGGAUCGAGCGAAGGCUCAUCCUUGUAUAGUGGUUGCCUAUUUGGAUGUAGCGUUGUGUUGAUGGCAUGGCUUUACGAGCACACAAUGUUAUUCAGUCCUUCAGUUCCCUAUGUCAGUCCUCGUCUAUUUAAGUGGGGGAACAUGGGGUAUCAGUGGAAGAUGAAGAUAGCUGAUUUGUUGAAGAAAGCUAGGCUACAAAUGGUUAUUGAGGUUUUGAACCCUAUUGACAAGGAGGUGGCCUUAGUGGAGAGACCAAUAAGUAUGUCUCGACAAGAAAGCAGAAUGAGGCACUUUAUGAUGAAGUUAAUAGGCUCUGCAGAAUGCUAAGAAAUAAUGGGUUUGACUCGGAUGCAGUACCAUUUAGUGAGGGGCUGGUAGGUUUAGCAACCUGCAUGCCAGACAAUGAUGAUUAUGAUGCAGACUUGCUUACUAGAAUUGCAUGCGACACCACGGGGGCAGAGCAAUCUCCUGAAAGGACUAGCAUUGUAGCCUCAUCUUGCGAGAUUGUUAAUGUUUCUCCCUCAAUUGCCUUUACUUACAAAUGUAAGUUUCCCUGGGCAAGGAGAGAACGAAAGCAAAGCAACAUGGUGGUGUCACCUUACCUAGCUCCUGGGCAGCAAGGGGCAAGGAGAGAAGCCCACCGCAUCCGUGUGGUGGAUGUUACAUACCCAGAAUACUACCACGCUCUUAGGCAUAGUUGGAACCUACAAAGAGAUGUGAACACUUUGAUGCAAAAGAAUUUGGCUUUGAGACAACGAAAUUUGGAACUUGGACGUGAAAUUAGAGAUAAGGGUGUGGGUCGAAAUCAGUGUAUCGAGCAAUAAUCUGUAAUAUGAGGAUAAUGGCCAUAUAUUUUGAUCAAUAGUUGUAUCGUUCCUACCGCUCCCAUCCCCACUACGAGUGUUAGGAACCUUCAUUUUCCUUUAUGCUAUUAUAACAUGUAUGUGGAAAUUUUAAUGGAAGUAGUCAUG